AGUAACGCGUGGAUAACCUGCCUCACACUGGGGGAUAACAGUUAGAAAUGACUGCUAAUACCGCAUAAGCGCACAGUACCGCAUGGUACAGUGCGAAAAACUCCGGUGGUGUGAGAUGGAUCCGCGUCUGAUUAGCCAGUUGGCGGGUAACGGCCCACCAAAGCGACGAUCAGUAGCCGACCUGAGAGGGUGACCGGCCACAUUGGGACUGAGACACGGCCCAA
rnacentral:rRNA from 1 species